rnacentral:rRNA from 1 species
UACGUGAGUGCGAGCGUUAAUCGGAAUUACUGGGCGUAAAGCGUGCGCAGGCGGUUAUGUAAGACAGAUGUGAAAUGCCCGGGCUUAACCUGGGAACUGCAUUUGUGACUGCAUGGCUAGAGUUUGGCAGAGGGGGGUAGAAUUCCACGUGUAGCAGUGAAAUGCGUAGAUAUGUGGAGGAACACCGAUGGCGAAGGCAGCCCCCUGGGUCAAGACUGACGCUCAUGCACGAAAGCGUGGGGAGCAAACAGGAUUA